rfam:Laetiporus sulphureus 93-53 unplaced genomic scaffold LAESTscaffold_2, whole genome shotgun sequence.
CACAAGCCUGGCGAUUUUUCGCCAGGCUUGUGGCCCUCUCGCAAUGUCCGAACAAGCCUUGCAGUCC